GGAAUAUGCAGAUAAUGUAAUGGAGAAUACUUGAAAGCAUAUACAUCAUGUACAGAAAAAAAGGAUAUCAAUGGCAAUGGCAUGGAUAUAGAGAUUGAUGAUCCAAAUGAAGACAAACCUAAUGUUAAUAAAUUUUCAAAAUUAGUGGCUACAACAGAUGAUGAAGAUGAGCAUUGUAACUAUACACUUCGCACGAGAAAAACAAAUUCAUCUACCUUUGAUAAGAAUUUAUACACAUAUUCACAAGACAGCGAGGGGCAAGUUAGUACAGUGUGCAGCAGUCAAGAUUCAAGUUGGAGCCAAGGGG